rnacentral:rRNA from 1 species
ACGCUCGACACCUACGGGAGGAGCAGUGGGGGAUAUUGCACAAUGGGGGAAACCCUGAUGCAGCGACGCCGCGUGGAGGAAGAAGGUUUUCGGAUUGUAAACUCCUGUCGUUAGGGACGAAUUCUGACGGUACCUAACAAGAAAGCACCGGCUAACUACGUGCCUGCAGCCGCGGUAAUCUGAGCGGGCUGGCAAGGC